GUUCUGAGGGCUUUGUAACAGCUUGUUUAACAUUUCCCUAAGUCUCACUAUUACUAAUAGCUAUCACUAUUUGUAUCCUUAUUCUUAGAGAGUAAAUUCAAACACAGAGAAGUUAAAUUACCCACCCAAAUCACACAGCUUAUAAGUGGUAGGGCCAGAAUUUAAACCCACACUGUUUGAUUCCCAAGACUGAGGUUUUAAGCACUAUGCUAUGUUGGCAGUCCAUAGCAGAGACAGCACGUGCAUUGGAAGUACUUAAGGGAGAAUGUUGUUUAGCCUGAGAGCCCCAGUUAUGUGAGCCAUUGUAGUAACCCAGAAGGAUUUUCAUCAUUGCACUGUUCACACAUUAGGCUAUCUUUCCCCACAUUUCUUUGCACUGUAUCUAGGGUUGAGCUAUUGUUUUUUCCAACAGUCACAUCUGUGGUGACCAACUUGUCCCAGUUUGUUUGGGACUGAAAGAUUUCCCAGAACAUAGGUGAUCCACUUUUAAAACCAGAACAGUCCUGGACAAGCCAGGACAAAUUGGUUACCUUGGACACAUUUAACCAAAAUAAAAAAUAAGGCACUUUGGGGAAGUUCCCUUGUGGCACAGUGGGUUAAGGAUCCAGCAUGGUGGCAGCUUUGGAGCAGCUCACAACUCCGGUUCCAGUUCAGUUCCUGGCCCAGGAACUUCCACAUGCUGAGGGUGUGGCAAAAAGGGGGUGGAGCUUUGGGAUCAGUUCAGGCCACUUUCAAUCUUACCAACAUAUCUCUACCAAAGAAGGAUAUGAGGACUUAAUCAGUCACUGCUUCCAAGGUACAGCCUGAUUACCAGACAAUCUGCUGUCAGCUAAGGAUUGGUGAAUUCCUAUACAACAUUAGAUUUCUGUUUUGUUUUUCAAAAGCAUUUAAAAUCCUUUUAGGGUAUCCUUCCCCACCUUCAGCUGUUGAUAGGAACACAUCAAUGUCUUUAACUCGUUACAACAAAUGUCUCAUUCAUCAGCUUUCCAGAUACCUUUAUAUUGAGUUUGCUAUAUUGAGAAGAGUUUUCUUAACUCUCCUCUUUACACCUCAGGUAGGACAUGAUGGGGAGGGUUCUUAAUCAAAUGGAAGGCCUCUAGGUAGAGAUCAGCUAUGUGAUGCACAAGUGCAAGGAGGAAAGACCUUGGACCAGUCUCUUCCUACCUUAGGCCAAGCCUGCCUCUCAACAGUUCCUCUCAUUCCUGAGCUUGAAAUGGCCACUGUUAUAGGAAUGCACUGUUAUUUGGGUAGACACCUGCAAGACCUAGGGAUCCAAAAAUGAGAGUGCCCAGACCAGGGUAGAAAGCACAGAGGGUAGUAGUUGUGUGUUGCACUUGCAGGUUCUGAUAAUUUGACAUGAAACAUUAAUGACAUGAUAGCAGAGACAUAUCAAAGCCUAUAGAAAACAUGAUUUACCUCCAUACAAUACCUGUCUAAAAAGUAAAACCUUCAGAACUUGCUAGGGAAGUCCAAUUAGUGAAGAUUAACUAAUUCCUCUUCUUGGCUAUAUGGGGAAAUUUGCAAAGACAAUUAGAAGGAACCAAGAGCAAAAGCAAGAGCCUUGCCAGCUGAUCCUUGCAGCUUCUCUCAUUGGGCAGAAUUAAGUCCUUAAAAAAGCUGGUGCAUCUCAGGGGGAAAGGUUACACUUCAUUCACAGUGAGGAAUUUUUGAGUAGCCUUUUCAGCAAGGUAUAGAGCAAGAGUCAGCAAACUUUCUGUAAAAGGCCCGAUGAUACAUUUUUUUUUUCAGCUUUGUAUACUGUACUGUCUGUCAGAAACACUCAACUUUGCCAUUUUAAUGCAAAAGCAGCCAUAGACAGUAAUAUAAACAAUUAAGCAUGGCUGUGUUCCCACAGAGCUUUAUAAAAGCAGGCAGUUUAUCAGGUUUGGCACCUUGGCCCAAGUUUGCCCACACCUGAUCUAGAGGUUAAAGGUACUUCAAGACAAUUGCCUAACCCUACCACCAUACACAGCAUCAGGCAGAGAGACCACAUUUUCAUGUGAGUUUAUGUGUGUGUAAAAGACAAUUCAUUGUUUUCCUCAUUAUGUAUUUUUUAAACAAGAUAAUUCAGUCAUGUAAAAUAAUAGAUGAAACAUAUUUGUCAUAUUAUCAUUUGAAACAGAAAUAAUUGGUUAGGGAAAUCUGUGUUUAUUUUCUCUUCAGAAAACUGUGGCCACAAUAUACACAACAUGCCAUGGAUUACUUCUGUGCCUAACUUUGAGUGCUUCCUAAAUUCCAAAGUUGUCCCUGGCCACACACACACAUACUGAAUAACACACUGAAUAAUCUUAUAAAUAACUUGACCUUCAUUUCAGCAGCAAAAGAAAUACUUUCCAUUCUACAUUUAUGAAAUAUUUUCCCAUGAAUUUGCAUUUCUUCUUCACAACAGUCAGGAGUGGUAGACAGAAUACAUGGUUAUUCCAAAUUACAUAGCAAUCUAACGUCCAAAGAAGCUAUGCACCUUUGCUUAUAUCACACAAUAAGUUAAAGCCCCGUUCUUGACUUCAAAGCCAAUGUUCUUACCACUAUAGCAAAGACAACUAAAUAUUUUAUAUUAUAUAACUCUAGACUUACAGUAUCAUCUAACAAUGGUGAGUAGACAUAAAGGGGGUUGAUUAACUAGAUAUUAAUUCUCAAGUUAAGAAAAUGUAUUACAAUAACAAAACUCAGUUUGAAAAGUUAUGCAGAGAUAAGCCUGCUGAAGCCUCCUGGAACACAGGUUUUAGGAUCAGAGCCAGGAAAGCCACAUUAUAAGGGAAAGUACCUUAUGCCAUCCAGUAACUAAGUCCCCUUGGAGAGGGUCCAAGGCAUGCCUACCUUAUAAUGAACUCUGAUUUAUGGCAAAUAAUAUUUUAGCGAAAUUUCAGUGUCAGACUUUUCUACUCUGGUUUUGCAAGCAAUGUGGUCUCAAAAGCUGUCAUGAAAUGAAGAUUUUGACAGAUAGGUGAUAACAAAUGAAAAAGCUGCACACAAAUUGCCAUGUUCCAGUGUUGGUAUUCGUUUUAUAAUGCAGAUUACAUUUUCCAAUUCCUACCAAUUUGCAUUUUUCUUAUUUAAAAUAAAAACUUGUGGUAUAGACAAACUGGGGUGAAUUUUAGCAUGAACCAUAAUAAUUUAUGAGCAAUUAUAGAAGCACAUGUACACAGUCUCUGAGUAAUUUGUCUUUCUGCUUGCUGUCAAAUAAAUAAUUUUUGCAUCUUGAAUCUGCCUGUAAUAAUUUUGCUAUGGCGCCAUCACCUAGAGCAAUUUACACUUACUGUUGUUACACCUAUUUGUCUCAUAUCUUGUUACCCAAAAUCCAAUUUUAAAUUCAAGCAAAUGAGAAAAACCACAGUAAUUUGUUGACGUAGUUUCUAAAACAGGCUAGUGGCUUAAGUAGCAAGUUAUUUUACUCACGCGCAAUUCAAAGGGAGCUCAGUCUAUCUAUCAGUUAACAACCAGAGGUUCCACUCCAAACGGGUCAUUUUAAAUAGUUUUAUGUCUCAGGCAAGGAGCACAAAUUCUCAGUCAGAUAGUCUGUUGAGUUUCCUUUCUUAUAUAUGGAAGAAUCAAGUCAGUAGAUGCUCCAGUUUGAAAGCAAAGCAAAUGGGAAAACCUGGUGCCUUUUUCACGACCUCAGAUAAAUCAAAACGAAGUAAUCUAUCUCAAUAAAUGCCCCCCAACCCUCCUUCCCUCCCUUCCUCCUUCUCUUCUUCUAUUCUUCUAUCAUAUAUCUACAGCUUACUUGUUAAAUUCUGGAUGACUAGUUUUGGGAAAGAUGAAAUGAAAGGCAGAUGGAUAAACUUAGAAUGAUAUAUAUUUUAAUUGUAGCUUAUCUUUUUCGUUCCCUAUUUCAAUUGUGCAUGUGUUCUGAAAAGUUUUUCUGUAUAUACAUAUAUAUAUAAAUAUUUAUAUGUAUGUUUGUAUAUAUAUUCACACAAAGUCCAUUUUCACAUUCUUCUCUUGAGUUGUAGCACUGCCCCUAAAUUGUAUAGUCAUCCCUGGAUGUGAUGCAAACAUACCUAUACAAUUUCAUCGUAUCUUAUAACAAAGAUAAUAUGGUAGAAUGCAUCCAGGAUGCCAGAACAGUUUCCACAUCUGCUUGUAUUGGGCUGUGGAAUGAAUGCAGGAACCCAUGAGUCAUCAAACCAACAUUACUCAGAAUCACCCAGGAGAAACUUAGAACUGAAUCACAUAUCCAUAAAUGGAUUGCAGAAAAUAUUUACAAUUCUACCGAUCCUCACUACCAACUUUUGUGGGAAAAGAGGUACACAGGCAACAGAAUUGGUAAAGGCUCUAGGUUAACAGCAAGCGUUCAAAGCAGCUCAGGCCUCAGGUUGGAUCAUUAGGUAAGGCCCUAAUGGAUUAUUUUCUGUGGAAGUAAGCCUUUUUCGUUAAAAACAAAAACAAGUAUGUUGGCUCUUGAAACCAGUUCUAUAUAAUUUUUAACUGACUAACCUUAGGCAAGUCUGUUUCCUCUCAUGAAAAAAAUGGGGAGCUUGGGCUACAUGACCUUUAACAUCUCUUCUAAUUCAAAGUCUGUGAUUUUCUGAUGAGGGCAAAAUAAUCACCUGUCCUCAGGUAUCAGGUUAAGCAACAUGUCAGAGAACAUGACAAGGCUUUGCAGAAAGCAGGGUAGACUACAGUCUAUGUGGAAUGAAGAGCAGCAAUCUGCCAAAAUACUCCACGUGCCUGUCUACAAAUGGCUCUUCUACUGCCCAGCCCUUGGCACUCGAAAUUCCCCUUCUAUGACAGUAAUGUCUUUCUGUGAAAGCAAUGUGUUUCCAAGAGGCCCAUUGGUAAAUUUAGGAGAGUUGCAACCUUUCAGAUCAUUGCCACUGAGUUAGUGCAGAUCUGUUUAUUCCAAAGUGUGUGUGUGGCGGGGGGGGUGGGGAUUCCAGAAGGCAUUUGAUACAGGGCAAGCCUACUGGCUUAUCUUAUUCUCUCAUUCUUCCAUUUUCCCCCUCACCUCUUCCUUCUUAACAUUCUUUUUUUUUUUUUCAUUAUUUUAGUAGUAUAGAAGGCAGAGAAAGACCUCUGGUACUAAUUUUUAUGAAGAGAUGGGGAUUUAUCACUUGCUUGGCUUCUCAGUCUGAAAGGAUAGAUAUGAUAUCAACACUUGAUAUUUUCCCC
rnacentral:lncRNA from 1 species